ensembl:lncRNA
ACACAUACACACACACACACACACACACACACACACACACACACACACACACACACACACACACACACACACACACACACACACACACACACACACAAGGAUCUACAAACCCAAUUGGGCCUAGACACACAGGCCCACAUACAGACAGAGAGACAGACAGACAGACAGACAGACAGACAGACAGACAGACAGACAGACAGACAGACAGACAGACAGACAGACAGACAGACAGACACUUCAACAGGCCCCUGGAUCCUGCGUUGAGGCCUACUACAUUCGAAGAGGCCCCCAGCUCAUGCACUUAAUUCCAGACGAGUAGUUUGAUUGUAAAUAAGUGUCAGUAAUAACAUAUGCUUUCGGUUUAUUUAAGAAAAUAAGUGUUCUACGUGUGUUUAUAAAAAGGCACAACGUCCCCCCAUUGGACUGAUCUCAGAUCUGCUGUCGGGGAGGAGGGUGAGGUCUGAGGCGGUCUCGUUACGCUGGCAGCUUCCUGUGUUGCCAUGUGUGGUAUUCUGUCAGCCGGCCGUACUGCGCUCUCUCUCAGGUGGAGACAGGAGCCUCUGAAGACACCAUCCGUCUCACAAGUCACACAACAAGCUCCUGAAUCACGCCGCGGGUUCACCGCGGCUCCAUGGACCCCCAAGGGGUCUCCAUGGAGCCCCAGGGGACAGAGGCUGAGAGUGAGGAGCAGUCGAGGGGAACGCGGCAACACGUCGGAGGCAUACAGGAACCACCUUCAGCGGCUCCGCACCCUCCCAGAAGACAAGGCUCAGAGAACUCACACAAACAAGCACACAAACAAGCAGAGACACACACAGACACACACACAUACAAACACGCAUAGACGCACACACAUCGCACUCACACACACACACGCACACACACACACACACACACACAAACACACACACACACACACACCCACACACACACACACACACACACACACACACACACACACACACACACACAGCACACACACACACAAGCAGAGACACGCAUAGACGCACACACAUCGCACUCACUCACACAAACACA